ACAACAUGGUAUAUGCCAUGCUGAUGCCUUGCUGGCAUGGUUCUGGCCAGUGUGUGCCCAGCUUUGCAAUGGCAUGGCAUUGUUACUGCAUGUACUGUGCCAGUGCAAGGGCAGCAGAGCACUGGCACAUGAUAUUUUGAUCCUUGAGCGUGAAAUGCAAAUUGUCAAAUUUUUGGUAUAAGUUUUUUAUUUUAUUUUUUUUGGCUUCCAGACCCUGCAGUAAUGUAUCCAACAAUAUUUCACAUGGUAACUAGCAGUUAGCAAACAUGUAAUGUGACAGCUCUACAUCCUGAAUAUAUGGUUUUCUUGUGUGAAUAAUGAUGUAUAUAUGUUUUCUUUUGUGUGAAUAAUGAUCUAUAUAGUUGGAUUACGUGCCCAUCCUGAUAAACUUUAUAAUAUCUGUAGAGUUAUUUUAAUCUUGGCUCCUUUGUAUUGAGGUUUUGCAUUAUAGGGAUCAUUUACAACUCUAAUAUUUACAUGAAUUUAUUGUGAAAUCGUUCCAUUUUUUUUUAUAUGUUAAUGAGUUUAUAGACACUAUGUAUAGAUUUUAAAUUGCUAUGAUGUCAAAGUCGGCUUUAACCGAGGCUAUUGAAUAAUGACCCUAUCCAAUUACCUAAACUAUUAAUCAGACUGAACCUGAGAUGGGACCUGAUUUGGUAAAAACCUGGCUUGAUGCAAAACAUUUCCCUCAUGUCCUAUUGUUAUCCUAAUACUAACCCCCAUUUCCCUCAUCUUUUCCAAAUCUUACCUUCAGCUGUCUAUUUCCACUCCAACUUGUGCCACCCACCUUUUGCCCUGCUAUGGCUCAAUUCUGGCAAUGAUGCAGCAUCAACCCUCUCUUCUCUCACCCUACCCCUGCCCCUGCCUUAUCUAUGUACCUCAGCCCCAGCCCUAGUGUCUCCCUUCCCUAUCCUCAACCUAAAUCUACUGUUCCCUUCUGUUCUCACUCCAUCACCCUCCUCUAUAAUAGGUCAUAUCAGAAUAGGUUUUCAGAUCAGAUGUCCAAUCCUUAAUAAGUCUGAAUUUUAUGCGUUGUCAUGCUGGUCCAUUGGACAAUUGGAUCAGAGUUCUCUCUUGGAUCAGAUCCGGAGCAACCCUGAACUGAUCUUAUCAAACACCUUUACAGAAACAAUCAAACAAAGAUAAAUUUAAUUGAUCUGUGAACUCCAUUUUGUCCUUCUUCAUUGCUUGUGGACAUAAUUCUAAGUUUCGUACCAUAUUGGAUUGUUGAAUUGUCCACUAGUUAGUUUGAAAGUUAUGCUUUUUAAAAUAUAUGAUUCAGUUGAAAUCUAUUACAGUCUAAUGUAAAUUGUUUGGGUUUCUUUCUUUCUUUUUAUUUAUAAAUAAAGCAAUCAAGAUUCAGUUGAAAUCUUUUUCACAAUAUUGUUUAUGCUAUGAUCAUAUUUCUUAUUUUCUUCCAAUACCAGGCUGCAGUAAGAGAUAUAUGCAAUGAGGUGGAGGCUUUAGUCAAGAAGUGUGGAAAACUGAAAAUGAUUGAAGCUAUCAAGUUACCUCCUCUCGAGCUCUAUAGGCAUGUUGAAGUAUGAACAUAUGUCGUUUUUCAUUUGAUUGAUAGUAUAAGUUUUCAUGUAGUUAUAGUCCAUUUUAUCUUUCUUUUUAAAAUUAAUUUGCCUCUUUACUGUUAUUUAUGGCCAUUAUAUAACACUAUUUCUUAGAGCAACCUCUGUUGGAGGAGUACGGAGCUACUGUCUAACAGAUUAGUGAUGUAAGCACUGAAUACAUAAGUACAUAUUUAGCAUUGGAAGGCUUUUGCAAUUGACUCCAAUCUUUGUUAUUUCAGAUGCAACGAUUGUUUUAGUGAGCAAGCUAGCAUACUUUGGAUAAUGAUUUCUUUCUCUUGUCCAAUUAUCUACUAAGCACUAGCUGGAUAAUUGUCACUAGUUGUCCAUGAAACAAAUUUGGAAAAGUCAUAUUAAUUUAAAAGCCAGCUCUUGUUAUGCUUUCAAUUUCUUUGAACAUUAAUUAAUAUUAUUCAAAAUAACAUGAGCGUAUGCUAGGGACAAAUUGCUAAAUUUAGGCACUUGAGAGGAGCAAGAUAUCAACAUCUGUGAAUAUAGUAAUACGUUGUAUAUCUUGUCAGUGGUAUAUUAGUAUGUUCUUUACUUUAAGCUUGAAGUCCGGAAAUUAACCGUCUCUUAUUUUCAUUUCUAGUGGCAUGCUGUGGUAGUUUACUUCCUUUAUUCUUCAUGUUAUUGCAUUAUCUGAUUUCUUCUCUUGUAUACAUUUCAUUAUAUUGUAAGAAUUUGAGAUCUAAACAUGUUUCAACCUCAUGAUAUAAUUCUUUGCUUUGAGACGCGAUAGUUCGGGUAAUACUAAUUGCGUUAACAAAUACAAUAGCAUGGUCUGCCGAACCGAUCGGAGCCGGUAGGUUCAGGCUGUACCGAACCAGUGCCGAUAGCUAUCGGUAUGGUUCGACUGUGAAAACCGGUACCAAACCGAAACCAGGGCGACCGGCAUCCGUAGAAGUAGGGAAGAAGAGGAGGAAGAAGAGGAAGAAAGAAGAGAAGAAGCGGGGAAGAAGAGGAAGAAAGAAGAGAAGAAAAAGGGGGGAAGAAGAGAAGACAAGUACCAAAAAAAGGAGGACCUCUCUUCCUUCCUUGCUCGCAGGAGAAUGGGGGGAGCCGGAAAAGAGAGAAGAGAGGAGAGAGGGGAAGGAGGGCUUGGGAAGAAGGGGAGGAAAAAAAUAGAGGGAAGAAAAACCCCGCGCGGGGCCGAGUGGGGAACCGCGAGCCCACUCGCGCCUGCUCGUAGGGAACCGUGCCUGCACGUGGUUUCCUGCGCUGCCUCAAUUCCCCAUGCGGGCUCGCCGCUCGGGGCAGCGGGCCCACGCGGGCUGCCCUGUGUGGGCUUUAAAUGCCGCACAAAGUGGCAUUUAAUGCCCCUCUGUGGUAACGCGCGGGCGUCCCCGCGUUGGACGCGUGUCUUUUUUCUAUCUCGACCGGUUUGGUACCGGUACCGUACGGAAACCGGUCUUCACUGGUACACCAGUACUAUCAGUAUCGCAGACCUUGCACUCUAGCAAAAAGUGAAAUUUUUUUGAAUACAAACAUAACUAGUCUUGGUCUGCAAGGUUAGCGGCCUCAGUAUUGGAAUGCAUACCAGUAGGAGGUAGGUACGGUAAGGUAUCAAAAGUAUAUAUUUUUAUUUUUGUUUUCAAGGAUUUUAAUCUUUCCUUUUAGUUUUGAGUGGAUAAUAGGUUUUGUGGUUUCAUUUUUUAUGUUUAAAUGUAUUAUACUUUAAUUUUUUAUGUUACAUACUAAGAAUGGUAUGAUUGAAUAAUAUAUGUUAAUUAACUAAGUGUAACAUUGAAAAUAUAGAAUAUUUAAAUUAAAAAAUGGAAGUACAAUAUACUUGUAUCUGUUCAACUUCAAGUUGAGUGUCGUUGUCUCUCAUAGAUCCUAGGUCACGCUUGUAGUCGGUCCCUAGGACUUGACUCCAGCUUUGUAUUAUGUCCACCCAGUAUCUUAGCAGUCUCAUACCAUACUGUCCCUCGGGACGCCUCGUCGGCUCAUACCGUACUGCAUACCAAUACUAUAAUAGGGUACCAACACUGUAAUAGGGUGGUAACGGUGUGGGGUCCGAUAUUGAGACAACGAACCUUGCUUAGAAUAUUUAGAAUCAUUUAUAAGCUUAAAAUUGUCUGGGAGAUCAGAAAUACUAAGUAAGUCAUAACUAAUUUUAAAGGCAGAAAGGUACUUACCUCAUGAUGCAAAACAAACCAUGUACUUCUUGUCUUGAUUUAUUUCAAUAUCAUCAUCAUUGUCUUCUUCUUCUACCCCUACUCUUCCUCUAGCCAAGGUAGGCCGGUCAAAAGUAGGGCCCACUAUGUUAAUUCACUUACCGAGGUUGGUUCCUUAAGUAGGUGGGCCCCACCUUAGGCUAGUUGCAAGUAGGUCGGUCAUGAAGGUUGGGUAAGGAGGCCCAAUAAUUAGGUGACUCAGUAGGCAGAUUAAAAGAGAGAUAGAUAGCCAGAUGCUUAUUUACAUGUAAUAUCAUUUAAUUAAAUAUUACUUGAGGCAUGGUGCCUAUGUCAUACUAAAAUGCUGAAGUCAAUUGACCAUUAGGACUGUCAAUCAAGCAAGCUAUUUUUGAGCUUGCUUGUGUUUACCUUGGCUUCUACUUGCUCUAUUAGUAAACAAGCUGGGCUAGAGCUCGGUUUAACUAAUUCGUAAAUACCAUUGCAUUGUUUUAGUCAUUAUUUUCUAUUUAAAAUUCUUUUGAUAUUUAUUUUGGCAAUGUAAUUUGUCUAAAAUAGAAUGCAUUUCAAUUAUAACUUUAAGAUAUAAUGUGGAUGGCUAGCUUAAAGUAUAGGAAUGAAUGUUUUGGGAGACCUCAAGCUCUCACGAGAUCUCUUAAAUGAGUUGUUCAUAAACAGCUUAUGUUCUGCUCAAAAUUAAAUGGCUUGCUCGAUUUCAAAACAAGGUGAAAUUGAAUUCGUGUGGUUUGCUUGAGCUCAGUUUGUUUAUCAGCUAGCGACCAUCACUUGUUCUUAUAUUUGAACUUUUGAAGUAUUCAAUCUUUGGUUCUUUCUUUAUGGUUGAUUUUCCCUUCAUUUAUUUGUCAUCCAUGUUUUAUGUACAUAUGCAUGAUUCUGUCCUUGUAAAUGUAUGUUGCCAAAUAAUACACACACGCACACACACAAAUGAAUGUGUGCAUGUCAGCACGCAUGCAUGCGUAUGCAUGUUAUUCAUUGAUAUGUGCCACUUAUGGUAAUCCUUUCAUCAAAUUAUUUUUUUUGUUAAAUCUCACCAUCCUUUUUUUUUUUUUGAGGACCAAUUAUACACUUUUACAGGUUAAUUUGCCUAUUUUACUGCUGAACAAGAUCUUGUUACUUGUUCCUCAGGAUAUUUCUGGUGAUGAAUUGGUAAAGGCACUCCAAAUAAAAAAUAAAAUACCAAGGAGAAGGGCUCUUUCUGCAAUAGAAGACAAAGUUUUAACAAUACUUACUGAAAAAGGUUAUAUUGUCAAAGGUGAAGCUCCAGGAGAUGCUGAAGGUGUACCAGUUGCUUAUGAGGAUGAGGAUGAGGAUGAGGUAGUAGUUGUUGAUGGAGAGGUGGAUGAAGGUGAUGUUCAUAUAAAGCCGAAUUCACGGAAACCCAUUCCCUUGGUAAGGUUUUCUUAUUUUCUGGCCUUAAUGUGAUAAUUUCAAUGCUUCACUGAUUAUUGCUUUUCUGGGCAAUGAUUUUAUCUCAUGAGAUGAGGCAUGGGGCACAUAAUUAUUUUUAUUUAUUACAACCUAAUAUUUAUCUUUCCUUUUUAAUUCUACAUGUCAUUUACCGCAUUAUAACAUGGUAAGAGUCAAGGUUAGUACCCGACUAUUAACUACAUUGCAUUAUAACAUACAAAAGCACAUGCAGGCGUGCACACGUGCACACAGAGAGAGAGAGAGAGAGAGAGAGAGAGAGAGAGAGAGAGAGAGAGAGAGAGAGAGUAGUACGUACGUACUACGUAACUACGUACGUACUACGUACGUACGUACGUACGUACGUACGUUACGUACGUUACGUUACGGUUACGUACGUACGNNNNNNNNNNNNNNNNNNNNGAGAGAGAGAGAGAGAUUGUUCCCUCCAUUAACCAUGAGUCUAGCACAUGGGGCUCCUAUAGUUUCAGGUUGACCGCAUCUAUCUAUUCUCUAUUUCCAAUCAGUUCAUCAGCCUAAUUUCAGCGAAACAAAAUAUGUAGCAGCACACAAUGUGUUUGAUCUGGCUCAUAUUUUGGACACUCAUUUUCUUCAAAUGAUUUGGUAUUGACUGUUGUGUCUCUUAGUAAAUGUAGAAUCUGUAGAAUGUAAUGAGCCUGUUGGUAGCUUAGAGGUCUGGUCUAUUUGUGACUCAUAAAAGUCUUUAAGAAGGCUAUAGGUCCUUACUGGUGCACUAAAAUUAAAAAUUUAAUUUAAUUUAUAACAUGGAUUUAAGUGCUGUUCAGCAUGAUAUGAAAUGAAACUCAUAUACAUACUGAGCCAGUACCUUAAUGGCACUUGAUACUGGUAUGAUAUGGGCUGUGUUCCAGUACCUGGCAUGCUGCCGUGCAGGGCAUGCCAAACACUGGCACAGUUCAGCAUGCCACCGGCAUGAAUUAUUUCAAUCCUUGGUCUAUUAAUUGUACCAGUGGUAACUCAGCUGGUUUCUUAUUUAUUAUAUAUCUGAUGUUGGCAUUUCCUCUCAAUAAUUGUAAUAGCGGGAUUCAUUUUCUAUUUCAACUUUUCAAGUUAAGUAACUGCCUAGCUGUUGAGUGGUUCGACCUUGUUGGUGGGUGCUUUCUUGCUCAACUUUAAAAUUAAGAUAAUUUUAAUUUAUCAACCCACAUCCUUCUCUUAGUCUUGGGUUGUUGUUCAUAUUUUUGUUUAUCCUCGCCAAUCCUACUCUAGUUCCAUAUGCCAAUAUACUUUAGUAUGCAAGAUUCAGUUUUUCUCUAUAGGAUCCAAUCCUUUCUCCUUGCGUUUUCCAACCUUGUCAGAACUCCUAAAAUGAAUUGUUUUGCAUCAUUUAAUCCAUUAUUUUCUUUGUAAAUUCACAAGCAAUUUAUUUAUACUCAAUUUCAGUAUUUAGUUGGGAAUAACUAGAUAUGUGUAAAAACAAAACAAAACACUAGAAAUAAGUGAAAAUGAAGAAAGUUUAAGAAGUAAUAAUAAAAUAAACACAACUCAGGAGGAAAUAACAUAUGGUACAUUAUCUUAAAGCAUGUUAUGUUAUUUGGAUAUAUAAUUGAAGUGCUUUGAGUCUAAAGCUAUGUAAAGUUGUAAAUGAUAAUUUAAAUUUUUAAAAGAAAUGUAAACUUUGAAAACUAUUGAAAUAUAACAAAAUAUACAAGUUAAACAGUGUUUAGAAAUCACUAUACAGUAUAAUAUAGAAAUUGUUUCUACAGCAUAAAUAUUGUUUGAUUUUAAUCUAACAAAUAUGCGUGGUCUUAUUAACACUUAUAAUCGCUGUUAUGUCUGAGCACUGGCAGCUUAACGAGAGUCAUGCUAGAAAUACAACUCACCUCAUUAUUGAUUUGCAACGCAAAUGGGAAAAAAAAUCCACACCUAUGUUUUUGAGCUACACCUUUAAAAGCAUCGAAAGAAGGACCAUCUUUUUGGAGAUCUCUAAUUGAUACAUCCAGUAAGUGCAAAAACUGUGCGCAUUGGGCCAGUGUGCUAAAUACAUGAUACGGCAUUUUAGUUGAGAAUCAACUAUGUUCAUCAUGAUCUGUACAUCUCAAAAUAUGUAUAGAUUGAAAAUUGAUGGAUUUCGAUGCUUUGAUCAUAGCAGAACUUCAUAUCAUUUUAUUAGAGCCAUCCAUUUUUUGCAUGCACUUGAUGCAUAGGUAGAGACCACAAACCACAAAGAUGUAUGAUUUUUGCUUUCUAGGUACUUUUAGUGGUAUGUAUCACAAUCAAACAGUGCAGCUCUUCAAUUUGGAGGUUUUAUCAUCGAUUUUGAGUUGUUAAUCUCUUACCAAAGAUUUCACAUUUAAUGUUUAGUAUAACCCAAAAAGUUCUCUCUUUCUCUCCGAUUUUGUUACCCAAAAUGUAUGCCUUUAUCUGUCUUUCUUACUACUUCCCUUUUUGUUUUUUCAUUAUGUUCAGCUUUUUGGAAUCUGGGACAUCCCACUUUUGACUCGUUUAUCUCCCAGGGAUAUAUGUUCCUUCUCUAGCGCAUAAGAUAUGCUUGUAUUUGUUUAUUCUAGUUAAAGCCUGGUGGUGUAACAAACUUUAUUCACUUGUAAAACAUUUUAUCACUCAAUAUGGCACUCGUAUCGAUCUGCUUGUGUGUGCUAUCUAUCUUAAUCCACACUUCAUGCUUUGCGGCAUCAGAAUUCUUUCUUUCAUGUCUUUUCUUAUCAACUUCCUGCGUAAAACUUUUAGCAAAUUAUUUGAUCUAAACCCUGUACAUAUGCUCUACUGUCUGAUUUCCUUUUAGAUAUUUCAACAUUUAACUUGAGUUAUUUCAUGUCCCAACCUAUGCAAAAUUCCUAUGCCAUAACUCAUGGAUAUUCCAAAUUUGGUCCUGUUUAUUUUUAAGAUGGACCCUCCCUAUUGUCCAAAGUGGUUAGUGGAAAUUGUUGAAAAGCAGAAAUUUCACUUGUACAUGAAAUUUUUGGUCGGAGAAGUUAAUAUAUUGUAGAAAAUAUGUUUUUCAAUAAAACUUCAUUAAUUCUGAGAACACAAAAUGGACUCCAGAGAAUAAAUAAGUUGGGAUAAAUGUUGAGUUGAUAACUAUUAUUCACUAAGGAAUCUUCAUUAAAAAAGGAGUAUCAUGGAUAAUGACAAUCAUGGUACGCGAUACUAUACCGAACUGGGCGGUACCGGGCAUACUGUACCGUACCGGUUCGGUACUGGUACAUGAUAUGGGGGUGUACAAAUAUUCGAUAUGCCGAACUAGCCCUCGUACCUGGCAUACGGAUACAGUGACUGGGUGGCAUCAAUACAGGGCCCAAUACCAAGGCGGCGUACCUUAAUAACAAUAAUAUUUUAUAACUCGACAAUUGAUGCAUUCUAAAGAAUCUCCACCUUCUAGUUAUUUCGAUACUCAUGUUUUUUCUCUCUUCAAUCUAGGGAAGGAUAUGUUGGGGUUUUAACAUAGAUGUUACUCAGGUCAUAUAAUUUCCCUUAUAAAUGUUUUGACCCUGACGAAGCGCCUUUUUGCCAUUUUGCCACUUUACAACACCCAUAGCCAAUAUGUAAUCUUCAACAAAACAAUCUGUCACAUAUCUUCUUAAACACCUACUAGACAAAUAUGUGGUUCUGCUUGAUUCACCAUGCAGUGGUUGAGAGAGGUCUCAAGCUAGAUGUGAUCAGCCUUGCUUUGAUGUCUGACAAGAUUUUUGUAGUUCUAACUAGUUUUGCCUUUCCAUGCAUUUGUAUCCUAAAUGUAAAUUAUCUUUUUGAGUUAAACGAAAUCAUUAUUCAUCUUAUUUAUGACUUCCUUCUUUGACACGGAGAACUCUGACAUGUUAAUUCACUGCAGCUAUCAAUGGUACUCUUGCAGUUAAUAUUAAAAGGUUCUGAGAAUUGCUCUGCCUUAGUUUCUUAUAACCUUGUUUUAUAAUGGAGAGAAGUCUCAACACCAUCCUUCGUGAGUUAAAGUUGGGCAAUUCAUAGAUUUUCCAUCCCUACUUUACUAAGCUUCAUUGUUAUUUCUAAGCUACCAGAUUAUGGAUUUGUACUCAUGAACUUUAGUCUUAUAAUACAAUUUUAUUGGUCGGAAGUACUAUAAAGUUGAUUAUAUAUCUGACAUAUGUCGCCUUUUUCUCAUGUAGUUAUUUUCUGAAGUGGAUGUGAAGUUGGUCUUCAAGGAAGUGACGUCCAAAUUUUUGCGCAAGCGUAUUGUGGAGGUAAGCAAUGGCCAAUGUUGUAGCAUUACAUCACCAUGAAGUGUUCCAGUUUCAUAGAUAUCUUACACUGCUUGUCUUGAGCUUGUAUGGAGCAGGCUGGUUUGUACUAUGUUUUGCACCAUUGACCAAUACAAUUGUCAGUCAGUAAACUUUUGUAGAGACAUGCCACACUUUCUUUAAGAUAGCAUAUUCAUGCAGAAAUUUGCCUCUUGAUAAUGCAUCGGUAUGUUAAUCUGCUGAGAAUUACUGGUUCUAUACUGAUUCUCCGAAUUCUUUCUUUAUGUGGCUGUGGUAAUUCAAUAGAUGCAGCUCUUAUCAAAGGUGCAUGCCCUGUUGUCUUUUUAUGCACCACCAAGAUGUUUAGGUUCUCAUAUCCAUUUUCCAAAGCAUAUAAUCUGGUGGAUGUGAUCAAAUUUUUGAAUACAAAUCAAUGCACCAUGUCUUCUACUCCGUAUUGUCUUUUUCCUCAGGUUAAAUUCAAAUUGGAUGAGAUUUGAAAUUAUGGAGUGAAAGAGAAAGAAGCAAAGAAGAAUAAAAAUGGGAGAUGAGAAGAGAGGAGAAGAAGGAAUGCAGGGAGAAUAAAAAUGUGAGAAAUGAGAAUUGUCUAAGAGAUUAAUUCUGUUCUCUUCUCGUCCCUAAUCCUUUUGUUUUAGGAUUUUGCUAUAAUGUGAAGAUAGACAUCCUUCUAAUUUUAGGAGGCAUUAUACAAUCAUUACUAAUAAGAAACAACUAUAAUUGAUUAAUCAUGCAACACAAAUAAGGAAAAAAGAAAAAAACAACAUGGUAAAGAAAGAAAAGAUUUCUUUGUCUACACAUCUAUUUUUAAUUUUGUGAAUUGUAAAUUUGAUCUUAAGGGUUAUAAGUUCUGGUACCAUUACUCAUAAUGGUUGGGGUCUUGGGUUAGGUCCGAUUGUCAUCAGACCAUUUGGUGGAUCGAUGAUCAUGCCCACCCUUGGAUCGUUACAUCUUGGAUAGAUGGAGAGACCAGGUGUUAGUUGGGCUUGACUUGAGGAAACAAAAUGAAUUGGAGAAAAUGAGUUGAGUUCUGCCUCUCCCAUCAUCGAGUCACUUUCCCUCUUUUCUCUCUAAACCUAAAGCUUAGCCCUCUUCUCUUUGAUGGGCCCCAUCUUAGGAACAUUCGAAGUGCCAUUGUUGGCUUGUGAGCAAGGUUCGCCGUCUCGGUAUCGGACUCCAUACCAGUGCCACACUAGCAUAGUGUCGGUAUGGUAUGGUACAGAUUUUUUUUAUACCGAGUGUCGGUACGCCACCCGUACCGAGUACCAGUACCGAACCGGUAUGGUACGGUACAUUCCAUACCGUCCGGUUUAGGCCGGUACGGCAUGCCAUGCUUGUGAGUGCCAUUUUUCUUCCUUUUGUUGGCCACCGGUGCCUGUCCUGGGUUAUCCUUCCAUCAAGAUUCUCAAUGCAGCCAUUUUCUUACUCUUUACUGCUUGUUGGAGCCUGCCCCAUGCCAUCCAUCACCGAGAUCCUCACUGGAGCCCCUUCCUUCGCUUCAUUGAUAUUUUUGAUUCAAGAAAUAGGUAAAGGUGGCCAUGAAUAAGGUGAAUACUGAUACAGUUAUGUUGCAUAUAGGAUGUAAACAAAGGACUUACAGCUGCUGUCAAAUUCAAUAAGCUAAAUGUAAAUUUAAAAUAUUGGGUGUUCUUAACAGCAUUCAAUGCCUGUAAACAAAAGUAUAUGUUGUGCAGCCUCUUGACUUUGCCUCAAAUUAUCCCACAUCAAUAUUUAUAGUGUUACGAUAUAAUGUGCUGAGUUAUAGAGGGUUUGAUGCAUAGACAAGUAUGUCUGCAAAAUAUUCUACUUUUGGUAUGGAUGCAUGUUAUACCUGCAAAUCAUAUUCAACGGUCUAGAUUUCUGUUUUGCAACUCUGAUCAUUGAAUUUGAUGCUGGUCGUAGACUCCUAUUUUGACCGCUAUGUCUUUUGUAUCUCACCCAUAUUGGGUGCAGCCAUAAUACACAAAGGGUUUAAAAGUGAGGACAUAAUACAUACUACAAAAUUCAAUGAUCUAAGUUGCAAAAUAAAAAUCUAAACCUUGGAUAUGCUCUAUAAAUUCUGAAAUAUCAUGUAGUAAUGUUACCUCUUGUUUUGCAUCAAAUCCUCCCAAAUAUAUGGUUCUUAUGGCAUGAUAUAAUUUUUUGAUUUCAGGGCAACCUGAUGUAUAGGCUAGGAGUGCAGAAACAAAUUAUCUUUUAUACAUAGGCAUUUUAAUUUUAUUAGACCAUUUCCAAUGGUUUAUAAUUUUAUUUUUCAAACCUUAAUUUUUAUAGUGGCACAAAAUCGUCUCUUUACACCCCAUGUGUAUUAUAACUGCACCUAUAUAUGUAUGUAUAUGUAUGGACGCAUGUGAGCAACCACUAAGAAAUUUGACUCUUGUCAAUUCCAUGGGAUGAUUUGAAUUCUGAAUUCUGAUGAUACCGAUUUGAACCAAUAUUGUUAACGACAACAUCUGAUCUAUCAAAUCAAUUCAUCGUUGAAAUCGGGUAUUCCAAGAUACGCCAUCUCAGUACCGGGCCUGUACUGGUGCCAUCUUGUUACUAUAUCGGUACGCCUGGUAUGGGAGCUGGUUCGACGCACUGAGUGUCGGUACGUCCCUCCGUACUGUGUACAGGUACCGAAUCAGUACGCUAUGCCCCGUACCACUUGGUUCGGUACGGUAUGGCAUACCAUGGAUAUUUACCUUUCUUAUGAACGAUUAGAUCAAUGGCUUUAUUUGAUCUAAUACCUGAAUUCAGACCUGAAACAAAGCAAUGGAUAAGAUAUAUUCUUUCUUUCUUCAGUAGAAAAGAAGAUUUUCAGUAUUAGUUUUUCAUUCAUCUUAAAACCUGAAUAAUUUCAGUAGUCAUAUGGGAUAAAAUGGCUUGUGAUUUGUUCAUGUAUGUGAACAUUUGUGGAAAAAUAAUUUCAUAUUUAUCUGUUUUAUCUUCUUCAUGGACUUCUUUUAUGUUUUUUUCUUCAAGUAAGAUGUAUCAUUGUUAUCCCAUAUUAUGCUUCUGGCUGAUUAUGGUAGUUAUAAGUUUCCGGCUCAACUUCCUUUUACUUUGUGCAUACAUUUUCUUUUUUCCUUGUAUAUUUGGCACCGGGAAACUUAUUCCAUUGAAAGUAUCAUCAUAUUUGACUCAGGAAAGCCAGCAUGAGUCAACCUUUUGCGUUCCUUGACAGCUGGCACCAUCAAUCCAUAAAUUUUGGAUAUGUCAUUCAGCCUAUAAUAGUAGGCUAAACAUCAAUAAAUUACAUUAUAGCCACAUGUUGGUAUUCUAAUAAGAUUGUAUUUGCACACGUUCCAUAUCAGGGUGGAAAACGAAGCGAUGGACGAAACCCUCUAGAGAUUCGUCCAAUUAACUCACAAUGUGGAGUACUUCCUAGAGCACAUGGGAGUGCACUUUUCACACGCGGUGAAACACAGGUGAGGAGAUUUAAAUUUUUAGCAUCACCAAACUAGGAAAUUCAGUGCUUUUCAUAGUUCAUAUUUAUUUUUUAAACUUAUCUUUUCAUGUCAUUUGCAUAUUUCCAAUUGAGACAUUAAGUUUUAAGUUUUGUCAAUUAUGUAAUUUAACUCGUACUAUCAAUGAAAGGAAAACUGAUGUUCAAAUUUAUGGUUCAAAGGGGAAUCUGCUGGUUAGUUAACACAAGAAGUUGGGCCAAGUUGUAGCAAUGUGUAUCUCUUGGUUUUCUUUUCUUUUCUUUCCUUUAUUUUCAUCUAAAAUAUCUUAUGAAUUCUAUGAUUGUUUUGAAGCAUGUUAGCCAAAAUAGCAUAUUUUAAGAUUUCUUUCUUAUGGUGAUUUUCAGUGUUGAAUAUAAAGCUUCUUUGUUGAAACGUUAUCAGAUUCCUUAAAUAUUUAGAGAUAAUACAUAUUCUUGGCAAGCAAUAUGCUAGUACAAAUCUUCUUACUAUGCUGUAUUUUUCCAUAUUUUUCAACAAUUAUCUGGAUACUAACCGUUUGAACUUUUUAUGGCUCCAUGUCAUCUACUCUCUAUGCAUGAUAGAUUUACCUUAUGCUAUCAUUUUCUUUUCAAUAAAGGAAUGCAAAUUAUAUAUGGUGGUUUAUGUGGAAAGUACUUGCAUAUAUGACCACUUUAUUGCUUCUGCCCUCAACCAUUAAUAUCUGUUAUUUAGUUGGCAAAUGUCUACAAAUCUUUCUUGCAUGUUUGCAUUCCUUUUAUGUGUUUGAUAUAUUCUUGUGGAGUUAUACAUCCGCUACGACCAAAAAUAUGCAAUUUCUAUGUAUCUGCUAGUAAAGCAGGCUAACUUUGGAGGAAGUUUGUGUAUUGAAAUAUUUUUUACCACUUUAUACUAUGAAAACUUCCUCUAAUGAACUGAUAUAAAUAGUACUUCCAAGGUACCUUUUUGCAUGUUCUUGUUUCCGCAAACUUGAGCCAAGUGCCCGACGUAUAUGAAUUUGACUCAGCCCACAUGGCCUCAGCUCGUGAAUGUAGUUGCUGCAUAACCAUAUUAUCAUCUCAGCAACUGAUCAUAGAACACCUCUUUAGUUUUAGUAUGUUAUGAAGAUUAAAAGCUGGAUGCCUUAUCCAAAUGCUCCUCCAUAGGCUCAAGGUCAAGGUAUUAAUUAAAGUCCUGUGAGAGAUCAUAAACUUGAGAAUUUUUGGUAAAAAAGUGGGGUACCGACACUCGGUACGCCAAAAAAUUAAUACCAUACCGUACUGAUAUUGUGUUAGUAUGACAACCGUACGAGGUCCGGUACUGAGACGGCGAACCUUGGACUUGAGUGUUUUUUUUCCUUAGGUUGGUAUCCGACUUUUACACUAAUUAGUACAACAUUCUUUUCUAUGAUUACUUUAUCAUCAUCUAUCUUUUGUUUCACUGAGAUGAACGCUAAAACCUUGAGUGUCUUGAACAAAAAAGAAAGUCAAUUAUAUACACUACUAUGUUUGACAUGUCACAUGCAAAUGGAUAUUUUUUACAUUGAAAUUCUGGCAAAUAUAAUUAAAAAUUGUUCUGGUGAUCUCAGUUCUCUGGAAAUAUACAUUAAAUAUAGGGUUACUGGUGUUACUUUGAUUGUGAAAUAUUCUUUAUUUUGUAGUCACUUGCUGUGGUUACUCUUGGAGACAAACAAAUGGCACAAAGGAUAGACAACCUUGUGGACACAGAGGAGUUAAAAAGAUUCUAUCUUCAGGUAUGUUUUAGGAUUUCUUAUGUUAAAUUUAGUAUGUACGUCUCCCCAAAUAAUAGAACCAAUAUAUUGCAAUUAAAUAGUUAUUUCCCAUAUUUUUAGUAAAUAUUCCGUUAAUAAGGCAAAUGACAUUUGUCAGCAAUUUAAUUGUUUCACCGCACCAUUCUUAAUUGUCAAUCUUGUCUAGCCAAAUGUGUCUGGUAUUGAAUGAUUUUAGUAAUUUUCGGUUACAUUUGCAAAAACACAUGAAAAUAUUCAGUUUGGCAUGAAAUUUCAUAUUUUGACUAAAUGCAUAUAUAAAUUAUCAAUGGUUGAUGUUUUUACAGAGGGGAUGAGUAGCUAUUUGCAAGCUGAAUCCACGGGAUUUGCUCAGCAUUUAAGAUGGGAUCUAGUGAAAGUAAUUUACUGUUGGAUGGCAUCAGUAUCACAUAGUUAAAGUCAAUAAUUAAGUAACUACAAAUCUGAAUCAUAUCUUAGGUGAAAAUAUAAAUAUUUUUAUUGUCAAAGAGUGUUGUUGUGGUCUGCCAAUUUUGGGUUUUUGGAAGUGCAGACACUUUAUAUAUGUCACCACUCUAUCACAAAACCGUGCUUUGAUGCUUUUUGCCAUCAUGACAAUGUCAUCAUCAUGUGCUUAGACUUGCAUUAAUGCAGGAGCAAUAGGUGGGGUCAGCAUGUGUGCAGUGGUGGAUGUAAAGGGACGGAAUCCUAAGCUUAGGUUCAAAAUUACUUGCUGUCCAAUUUGUGAUAACAAUUGCAGGACAUGGUAGAGGGCCUUGAACCUGCCCUAAUAGUUAAAAAUUUGGGAGGAGUCCUAGGAAAGGGAUUCUAAAGAUUUUAAUGCUAAUGGAGUUGGUUCAAUGUUGAUCAAAAUGAAAAUUCUGGUCAUCCGUAGUUGUGACAUUUCUUUCCGUUUUUCAAGAAAUCAUGUCUAUGAGUGCAGAUUUGAAUGGAUGGUGAAUUCAAAGUUAAAAUUAUUAAUGAUUUGUUGGCUAUCUUCUACUGGUUACAAUAGUUCAAAGAGGCCUGAGAAUUAUUUCAUAUAUGCUCAGAUUGAGCGUAGUCACUAACAACAGAUAAGGAAGAACAGUACAAGUAAAAGACUUGUCAAAUAAUGGGGAAACACUAGUUUAGAUAAGGAAAGUUACAGAAGGAAAUAAUAUAAGAGGGAGAACAGUGACAUUUUGGUUUCUCUUUCUGUUCCUUGAGCAAGAACAGCUUUGAAUUCUUCUAAAUUCAUUUUCUGCAUGAACCCUUAUUUAUGGAGAACAAGAUUGCUAGGAAUUAGGAAACAAUGUUUUCUAGUCUAAAUGAACUCUUAAGACUUUCUCAAAAUUGUUUGACUCCCCAAGACACUUGUCUCCCACCUAAUACUCCAUGAUAUCCUCAACUUUCAGAAUAGUAACCAAAUAAAAGAAAACAAAAUUUACCUUGAGUUGGGAGUCCAAAGAGGACUACUAAAAACUCUCAAAAUUACUAAAACUUCCAAUGAAAUCUCUCCUUACAAAUGCGGAGCAAGUCAUCUCCUAUGCUGGGCAGAAUCUGGAUCAUGUGAUGCUUUUGAAAUGCAAACACUUUUCAUUGACAUCCGUAGCAGCAACUAAAUGAGCUUUAGGUUUGUGUUCUUCAACCACACUAUUUCAUGACGAAGAUGGGCUGUUAUUUCCAAACCUUGCUUUUAAAUCAUUUUUUUUGUGUACAAAUUGUUGUGUAUAGUAGGCCAAUACACCACAUUUGGCAUUAAAGAUGCUACUUCACUAAUCAUUUUGUCAUCUUCAUGCUAGGUGUUGGAGAAUGAGCAAACGAUGAUUCUGUUGAAAAUACUUCAUCUUUCACAUCCUCACUUGCAUCUGUGUUACUCUCUUUUCACUUCAAGAGGACGGCUUCUUUAGUCUUCUUUAAGACUUGCAUUGGUUGUGGCUUUGACUUUGUUGAGAAAGGUCAUAUGCCUGUAGGGGCACUGGCCAAAUCUUGCAUGUUCGUAGCUUCAUAUUUUGACUCCAAGCAUGAAUUUCUCUUAUGACCUGCUCUGCACACCUGAUGUAUGUACUUGCUUACUGCUUGCUGUAUUUGAAGCCAAUGGUUCCUAACUUCAGCUCAUCUCCAACACAUGGCUAUUUUGAUUUGAAGUAUCUUUCUCAUGGUGCAUUCACAACAUUUCUUUUGUUCAAAUCAUCUUCCAUCUUGUUUGUAACUUGACUUGCAUCUGUCAUUUUGCAUAAUCUUCUAGCUAUAGACACCCCCUACUUCCAAUAACGAAGAAUAUCUUGUUCCAAUUUAAAGGCUAGAACCCUAGCUCUCACAUCUUAUCCCUAUAUCCUGUGUUCUAAAUCACCCCAAUCUCAUUCUUAAUAAUUCCUAUUUUUCUAUUUUUUGUGCCCCCAUUUAUCUCUAAUAAGGCUCUAGAGAAUUCUUAAUUAGCUUCUAACCCCACACAAAUCAAUUCCCCCAGGCAGCGAAGCAUGCUCACACUUAUAAAUCUACAGUUAGCACCAAACUGUACCAUGUCGAGUUCCUCUUAUUGUAUAAAGCACGCCCAUAUUCGAAGCCUAUUUUCUUCCCGAUUUCCUCGCUCAGAUGUAUGCAGAAAUCCAUAAAUUUCUAGCACCUAAUAUUACACCUCAUUGAACAUUUGUUACUCUCAUCCUCAUUUUCCCCUAAUCUUUCUCCUCUAAUAGAUCUCUGCAUAUAUUAUAUCAACAAGCUACAUUGGACACGUCAUGCACGCACAAGCACACCUUGUCCCUUCUAACAACCCUCGUGCAUAUAUAUAUAUGCACCUAGCCUUGCACCCACAUCACACCCUAGGAAGGCAUAGGACACUUGUCACACUCAUGUGCACUCCUAGACAAAAAUUUCUAGAAGGCCCCUACGCGCACCUAUCUUAACCUCCUCUUGCUAUUUGUCCCUCUCCAAUUCAUGUUGCUUCCUACACCAUCUUCUUCCUUAUAUGAAAAGAGAAGAAUAUUUGAUCUCUACUAACUGUGCAUCCUCUCCAAGCUAGAUCUGUACCAUACACUAGCUUUGUAUACAUGUUUCAUGUUUGGCUCUUCAGACCAUCAUAGUUCUUGCCAUCCUAUCCUCUUUCUCUCACAAAUCUCAACAAUGCUAUUGUAUCUAGCCCUAGUAUUCUAUUAGUUUCUCUACCCCAGAUAUCUUAAAACUAACCAACAUGCCAUCAAGAUUAUUUCCCCUUAACUCUCUGUGAGUCUCUAAAUCUCGUGCUUGUGCUUUUAAUCCUUGCCAUCCAACAUUCAUGGGAAACAAAAGAACCCUUUGAAAGCUAAUCAUGUGUGGUCCACUUUAUCAAUUCAUGACAACCCUCAUUUAAUCACAAGCAAAGUUCGCCGUACUGGUACCGGACCUCGUACCGGUGCCGCACUAGCAUAGGCGUACUGAGUGUCGGUAUGGUAUGGUACGUGGUUCGCCAGGUGUACUGUCACUGCAUAUCGGUACCGGUACGGUAUGCCCGGUAUCGACGGGUACCGACUGGUACAGCAUACCAUGAUCACAAGCCUUCGUAUCACCAAUCACCAUGACCUUAUAUCUAAGGAGUCUUUUAGAAGCAUCCAUCAUAGUUAUUCAUGAUACUGUUACUCCUUUAUGAAUACCCCUAAUUCUGCACCCAAACCGAAGAUUAAAUUGGAACCUUAGAGGAGACAACCAUUUUAGAGAGCCAUCUUUAUGAGCUUCUUGUCCUCCCCAUCUUCUCUUACAUCCAUUCCGAGCUUAGCCUCCACUGCCACCAUCUCUUUUAACCUCUCGACCACCCAUCUAGCUGCUAAGGAAAACAAGAUCCACCAAGCCUCCUUACUUGGAGUUUUCCCCUAAGUGAAGACCUGAUACUAAGGAGGGUGGUAGGAGCAAGUAGUCUAUGAUGGCCAAAGUAAUUCUAUGCUCAUUACCACCACUAUCCUUUCUCAUCUUUUGCUUUCUUUUUUUAAUGUUUUUCUGCUAUUUUCAGAUAUAUAUUGAUCCUUUUUUUCUUUUAAGGAUGAGCUCUUUUACACCUUAAAUCAAACUUAAGAACCUCAUUGGUAACGGGGGAUGGGCAGUGAUUAAAAUACUACUUGAUUUAGUACUAAUCGCUUGGUUUGUACUGAUUGAGCCCCUCUCAAUAUAGGGAGGCUUGGUUUGGGAAGGGAUUGGACGAACUGACCCCAAACUGACCAUAGAUCGAGUGAUUUAAGAGGAGUGGGGGGAGUAGGGCUUACUGCCCUUGGUUCAGCUUUGGAAUUGAGCGGUAUUGCUUGAUUGAGCUUUGGAUAAAAUUUAUGGGCCUUUUUCUUUUUAUUUUACUCCAUUCAGCUGAAAAGAAAGAGAGGGAGAGGACAUAGUCUUGUAGGAGGGUUUCAAGCAAGGAUUCAAGCUUGGAUUUAGCCGCUUUUCGACACCAAAUUAUUUUAUUCAAGAAAUGAACUCUCUUUCCUCCCAUUUUUAAAAUGGAAUAAUCUAAAGAUAAAUUAUUGAUUGCUACAUUGAGUUAAAACAUUAACAAAAUUUUAUCUAAAUCUCAUUUGAUUCUUGGAUUCAUGCAUUUAGGUAUGAAUCGAGGAUCAAAUUCUAGAAAUUUGUGGAUUUUGGGUUGAAGCCCGAAACAUAUGCUCGAAAUCCAUGUAAAUUUGAAAUUGACUUGAGAAAAUAGUUUGUUUGGGUUCUUUGUGGGAUAUGUUCUAGAAAAUGAGAGAGGGUGUGUAGUAUUGGAAGACUAUUGUUUUUGAGCUAUUAUUUCUCAAAAAAAUAAUUUUCAUAAAUAAUUUUGAAAAAGUAAAUUAAAAAAAUUUGGGAAAAAAUUGGCAGCAUGUUUGCAUUGUUGCUGUGCACGUACUAUCAAAUUCUCAACAUUUACCUGAGUGGUACUUUAGUUCCGUCUCAGCUUAAGCCCAAAAUUUCCUAAAUUUAAAAUUGACCCAACAAAAUUAUUAGUGUUCAGGUUGUUUUUUUUAAUGAUUUAUGUAUUAGGCAUAUUUAUAGAAGCUCUUAAUUAAAAUUAUUUUUUUUGAUUAUUUAAAUAUAAAAAUAAUUUAGACUUAAUUAUUUACAGAAAUAUUGAAAAUUUUAUGGUUUUGAGAAAAUUAUACAUACUAUGUUAGAUAAUUGUUGACUAACUUCUAACAUAGAUAGUGCAUUUUUUCUAAUAAAUUUAUUUUAUUAAUUUUUAUUUUAAUUAAUUAAAAAUAUAUAAAAAGUUUAGAAGCAAAUUGUUAAUUAGAAGAUACAUUGAUGCUCCUAUGCAUGUAAUUUGUAUGCACCAAUGAGGUGCUUAAAAUGAGCUUGCAUUUCAACUCAGGCUGCAAUAGUUUCGGAAAGUUAAGAAAAUUGUUAAAAAAGUUUUGCUAAAUAAGUUAACACCUACUCUCUGUUGUAGCUUGUAGCUGAUGAUUUCUACGAACCUAUUUUCUUUUCAAUUGAUAAUUUUAACACAUGUUUUAAAUGUAUUUAAGAUUCCAAGUUAUCUAGCUUGUAUGAUAAAUAUGCAUACUGUUGACAUCAGCAUGCAUAGAAAACGACAACUUGAGCACUUAACUCGAUACUCCCACCUUAUUCUGUGAAAAACAUUACAAUAAAAGAAAACAUGAUAAAAAAACCCAAAAAUCAGAAUUUGGAUGCCAAAAAACGUCAUACCAAUAUGUUUGAGGGUGUAAUUGUGCAUACCUAUCGAUACCUUUCUUGAUAUGAUCCUUAAUAUGCUGCAUGUUGCACCUAUUGUUGGUCAGCAUGAGUGCGAGCCUCGGUAUUUCGAUCCUUGGGUAAGGAUGCACUAUCUUGUUGUCCCCUACCUUAAAUCCUGAACCCUCACCUUCACCCUCACCCUUAACAUGGUAUCUUCGGUCCCUUUGAGCUAGCUAAUAGCCUAUGUGUUGCCCAGUAGAUACAACCCAAGAGGGGGGGUGAAUUGGGUCUUUUAAAACUUUUAUGCUACUUCUAAAACUUUUUGAUUAACUAUGCUAAGUUGUAUAGAUGCACAGUGAAAGUUAAACUUAGCAAGGUUUUGAUGUAUAGACUUCGACUUGAUUAAAUAUGCUUGCAACUAAAGGAUGUGCGGAUAAGAAUUAAGCAAGCAAUUUAUCCAAGUAAGUAAGUGUGUUAGUUAGACAAUAACUAGAGGCAUUACAAACACAAAGGACAUAUAGUGGUUCGGUGCACCCCAGCACCUACAUCCACUCCCCAAGACCUCUUGGGUACUCAUUUCCACCAUCAUGUGUUGGUGAAGUCGGGCGCAUGGGAGCACCCAGUAGGAGGGAGAUUGGUCAUGGAAUGCUAGCUGAAAGAGCACUGGAGCCCAUUUUGCCUUCAGAAGAGGAUUUUCCUUACACUAUUCGUGUUGAGAGUACCAUUACUGAAAGUAAUGGCUCUUCGAGCAUGGCAUCUGUAUGUGGAGGUUGCUUAGCACUUCUAGAUGCUGGAGUUCCUGUCAAGUGCUCUGUUGCUGGGAUAGCAAUGGGUAUGGUCUUGGACACGAAGGGAUUUGGGGGAGAUGGAACUCCUCUCAUUCUCUCUGAUAUCAGUGGAUCUGAAGAUGCUUCCGGAGAUAUGGAUCUUAAGGUUGCUGGUGAUGAGAAUGGUAUCACUGCCUUCCAGAUGGACAUUAAGGUUGGAGGAAUUGCUCUUCCAGUGAUGGAGCAAGCACUUCUUCAAGCAAGAGAUGGUCGAAAACGUGUUCUAUAUGAAAUGUUGAAGUGUUCACGACCACCAUGUAAGAAACUCUCCAAAUAUGCUCCAUUGAUUCAUGUUAUGAAGGUCAAACCUGAGAAAGUGAAUCUUAUUAUUGGUUCUGGUGGAAAGAAGGUGAAAAGCAUCAUAGAGGAGACUGGGAUUGAAGCUAUUGAUGCCCAAGAUGAUGGCAUGGUUAAAAUUACAGCGAAGGACUUGUCAAGCUUAGAGAAGUCAAAAGCGAUCAUCACCAAUCUUACAAUGGUUCCAACAGUGGGUGAUAUAUACAGGAGCUGUGAGAUCAAAUCAAUAGCACCUUAUGGAGUUUUUGUUGAGAUUGCACCAGGACGUGAGGGACUAUGUCAUAUUAGCGAGCUGAGUUCAAACUGGUUGGCAAAAGCUGAAGAUGUAUUUAAAGUUGGAGACCGUAUUGAUGUCAAACUU
rnacentral:lncRNA from 1 species